AAGGAGAGGAAUACUAAGAACCAUGUUUCUAAAAACUUUGGACUUUGUGUGCGUUUUCUAUUAUCUCGUGUUGUGUGACUGGGCUCCAAACUCUUUACCUUUUGGGCUUGUAUUGCUUUCUUUUGAACGUUUUGCUUUUGAUUUCAUAUUGAAUAUCCUAUGCUUAGGGUAUUUGAGUAUAUCUUGGUCGUUGUUGGUAAGGCUAUAUAUAAAGCCUAGGUUCUCUUCUUCUCUAUCUUUACGACCAAUCCACAUAGCUUACUUACUUUUGUGGUCCUGAAGAUGAUAAUCACUGUCAGGUUAUACCUCUCCCUGGUCUAAACAUUAAGCAUGCUCAGAGAUGUCUGACUACUUCAGAAUUCAGAUGGAGAUAUAAUCUACAGUGUUUGACAAAAAAAAAAAAUUGAUUAAUAAUGAUUUAUGAGUCCAAUAAAGUUGAUAAUGAAAACAGCUAGUUAUUUGCGUCCAACCAUCUCUAAAAAGAAAGAAAGAAAGAAAGAAAGAAAGAGAGAGUGACCAAAUGAGACUUUAAUCUUAUAGACGACGAGAAGAAUGGAGGAGACAGGAGGAAGAAGAACAAUCCCAGAGGUUGAGAUACUUGCCAGACUACCGUUGAGAAGCAUCGCCAGAUUCAAAUCUGUCUGCAAAAGAUGGAACUCUGUUAUAGAAUCCGAUUACUUCCACCGUCUCUUCGUCUCCCUGCACCGACACUCCUCUUCCUCAUGGUCGCUCAUGUUCAGAACCAAGUAUCUCCAUCCCAUGACACAACCCAUCGGCUUCCACGGAUGCGAUACAUGGGAUCUUCCCAAAUCACUUGUUUCUUAUAUCAUUCCGUUUCAACCGUAUCCCACUCUCCCUACCUCUGAAUACUACUUUGUAGCUUCUUCCAAUGGAUUGACCUGGAUCGAUGUCUUUCUUUCCCGUAAUUACAACAAUGUUUACAGUUACAAAUCUUUCGUUGGUAAUCCAGUUUUACAACAAUGGGUUGAGAUCCCUCCAGCUCCUGAUCCAUGGGUUCGAAAUCCAGACCCUUGGUAUCCCAGUCCAUUCUCUGCCGUUGGUAUGGUGACUCGUCUUGACAACGGCGUCGUUUCCAGCUUCAAAAUGGUUAGGACGAUCGAAAUGGGUAUGGUUGAUCGUUACGUUGACGGAUUGUAUCUAUGGAGAGUUUGUGUGUAUUCCUCUGAGACUGGUUUAUGGAAUAUCAAGAAACUUUACUCCCCACGAGCCGUUGGUAACUUUGGUUUUGAUUCUCUCCACGGGAUUCUUUAUAUGUGGGAUAGGUUUAUGUAUUCUAAUGGACCUGGUGUCCUUAUUGCUCAUGACUUUUAUGGCCCUGAUGCUGAUGAUCAAUGUCAGAUUAUUCCUCUCCCUGGCGUGGAUCACAAAAAAGCUCGGAGGGGCUUGACUACUUCAGGAGAAGAUGUUAUCUUCGUUGAAGCUAUACAUCGAAGAUUGAGUGUAUGGAGGCUGCUGAAUGACGAAGAAUAUAUCAGCGAAAGGUGGCAACUCAUUCGGGAAAUCAACAUGCCCUCUUUUGUAUCUGAUGUCAACUGUUUCCCCUUGGCAAUGAAUCCGUUUGAUGCUGAUAUCGUCUACCUGUGGUUACGUCAAGACCGUUGUUUGGCAUCAGGUAACUUGCAGACACAAGAGUUUAUUGUUCAUCAAGAAUCAGAUGAUUCGAGUAGUAGUGAAGUUGAUUGUUGUUGUCGCGUUAAUGCUUCCGAUACUGUGGAGUACUUGGAAGAGUUUCGCAAUGGAGUCUUUAUGUUAUUCCAGUUUGUGCUCCCUCGUUGGAUGGACUCUGUACCCCCAACCACCAAACUGAUUUUCCUUUUUAGGGGAUUCCUAACUUUUCAAUUUGCUUAUUACUGAAGCUUUCUCUUUGGUGUUUAUUAUGUAACUUUGUUUAUGAUGAGGCCAUAUUUGCUAUCUAUCUAUCAGAGUCAUGUCAGCUCUGCUCUUCUCUGAUUACUUAGUACUCUGAAAUUUUAAUUUGCAGUAGCAAUCUAUUUUCCAAUUCAUGGAUAGCAUAUAAUUUUUUUCGGCAGGGCUUAAUAAUCAUAGUGUAAGGAAACAAAAAUAUAUCAGAGGUCGUAAAUCGAAGCUUUUCUUGGCUAUAUAAUAUUCAAGAUCCUUUUUGUUUUUAUCAAUCAAAUCUAGAAACCUCACAUAGCGCAAAACACUCAGAAGUCAGAACACAAGACAAGGCAACAAAAAACUAAAGCCUUAUAAGCUUUUAGACUGUCUCUUGAGAGUCAGACCACAUUACUAGAGUUGCAAGAAGAGCGAUGGUUGCGGUCUCAACUCGCAACCGGUGCGGUCCUAGUCCAACCGCUGUGCCCCCUGCUUCCAACAUCAUCUCAACCUCUUUCUUCGUGAAGUCUGCACUCAUUUCAUUCUUGACAUUAGAUUGUACCAGUCUACUCUUGUGUAGUUGAGACAAGUCAUAAAACAAGAACACUAGAUACUGUUCAUCGUGUGUAAACUCAAGCACUAACCAGUGAUUUCAAAAGAAAAUGAUAGCUUCCGCAGAAACUUUACUACAGACAACCAUAUCUAAAAUGUAUUGGAGAAAGGGUUUCUUACCGCCUUCUGGUCCAACGAUUAAUACUCCACUGGUUUCUUUUGUUGACGACUUUACUGCAUUAAGGAGAGGUGUAGCUUCGGCUGUAGCAACCAAACAUAACUUCGACUUGGAAAUCUAGAAAUUAUCAAAAGGUGUAUUAUGGCAAGUUUAGAAACCAGGAAUCUUAGAGUGUGCUUAAAGAGAUGUUGAAACAUACAUGAUCCAAGAGGGUAUCAAAUUUGAUUGGAGGGUUCAGUAUCAUUUGAUGUAGCCUUUGGCCUGUGUUAGUAAAUGAUAAGGCAAAUAGUUUGUGAUCAUACCAAGAAAAAGACGAGCAAGAUUAAUAAAUCACACAUCAGUAUGUUACCUUAUACUAUUGUUACUUACAUUGCUUAGCCGCAGCAAAACUAACGCGCUCCAAUCUGUCAACCCGGUUUUCAGAGAUUAUGGAAGAUCUUUCUGUUAAAAGUGGGGUGACACCACUCGCUCCAAGUUCCUGAUAUAAGAAUAUACACAUAUUCAGUGGCAUGAUAUUCAUCGGUGACUAAGACCCGACAUACUAGAAGUAAAUACUUACUGUACAUUUCUCAAUUAACCAGUCUGCUCGACCACCCUUCAGAGUGCCUAAAACACAUAUAUUUAAUAAUAUCAUGAACCGAGCUAUGCCAAGAAUUAAAUAGUCUGGCAACAUCGUAAAAUUACGAGCAGUCCCAUUUCAUACCAAAAGCGGCAAACACCUGCCACUGCAUGCCCUGAGGAAGAAUCACCUUCUGAUCUUCUUGUGCGAUAAAAUCAACUCCAUUUUUGUCUAUGCUUUGUAUACAACCUUCUACCAGACCUCCUUUGCCAUUAAAGAGUUCUACCCUUGCAUAGAAAAAGGGUGCACGUAAUUACUUUACAUUUACUAAAUUCUAAUGGUAAUUGGUAAGUGAUCUUAAAAGCAAAGAAUAUGUUAUCCUAAUCUUAUCUUCAAAAUACUUUGGAGAUAUCAUAACAAUAACCACUGAAUUCAUCAUGGCAAAGAUGAUGCAUAAAAAGGUUAACAAGAUCUUGAUAAAAGGACGGCUCUUUGGUUUACUAUCCAUAUACAUACACACACAAUUUAGAUGGAAGAAAACUUCUAUCUACAUGGAUGCAAGCAAACAAAAUAUGAACAAACUCAACUUUUUUAAGGGCUUUCAUGAAUGCAACACUCCGAAAUGCUAAUAAAAUACAUGAAUGUGUGUUAAUAUUACCUAUCUUCGGGUUUCAGUCUUAGAACUUUAGCCAUAUGCCAAAACUCAGAGCCUUGAACACGAACACUCCCACCCUAUAAUAAUCAUAAUGAUUUACACAACGGAGAAGCUUAAUAUAACCGCUUCACGCAAAAAUAAGUGGCAAGAACAUAACAUAACCAAUACGGUGGUACCAAAAUCACCUCCACUACAAAGCAUCAUCUUAUAAAAUUACAGUGAAUUAGCAGAAAAUUCUCAAGUACUCAGUGAUUACUCUAUGAUCUUUAUUGAGUUCUCACACAGAUUCAAAUGAAACAACAAGUAAAUGAGAGAGAGUGAGUGUGUAUGCCUUGCAAGAUGGAAGAUCAUCUGAGAAGAAUCGAGGAAGGCCACCACGAGAUUGAUUCCGGAGGUCCGAAUCCGACGAAGGAGGCGAAGAUACAGAAGCAAACGUCCUGAAGCUGGAAGGUGGAAGCCAUAAACGAACAAUACUCGGCAAAUCGGAAAACAGUGGCCGUGCAGCCGCUAGGGAUCUCAUUAUUCAAUCAAAGCUUCGGAGAUUUUUGGUUCCCCAGCCGAAGGAUUUUUGGUUCAGUUCUUAUCGUUUCGGUUUACUAUAGUAAUCAUUAUGACCCGGUUAAAGUCCAAUGGAAUGUCCGGUUAAGUUCCCGCAAUUCAAGGGAUAUUGUUUUUUUCAAAAAUAAAAAAGAAACGGUCGUAAAGCGAUUGCCCAACGAGCAAAAUUCAAAAUUAGAAAACACGCAGCUCACGAAGAUAUCAACAGGUCGUGGGUAGAAAACAACCCAAUUACAUCAUUACACGUGUCGUAUACGUGCCGUUACAUACAGAUGGAUACUUUCGCUUAUAAAUACACAGCAUCGACCAACUUGGUAAAACCUAGAAAGCGGAAAAAUCAGAUCCAGUUUUUUUAAUUCAUCUAAAGAAGAGCGUCUUCAUAAACGCCCUUCUUCUUCUUCUUCUUCUUCCCUGUAAACCUAGGUUCUAGAUCUUUUCUUCCCCGAAACGAAAAUGAGAGAGUGCAUCUCGAUCCACAUUGGUCAGGCCGGUAUCCAGGUCGGAAAUGCUUGCUGGGAGCUUUACUGCCUCGAACAUGGCAUUCAGGUUCGUCUCUUCUUCUUCUUCAUCCUUUAUUCCAACUAGAUCUGUGGUUUUCGCUAUUUUUCUCGUUGUCUGUUGAUCAGAUCUGAGAUAUUUGGUCCUGCAUUUCCCUUAGUUCUUAGGGUUUCUGAAUUAAAUGGCAGAUCUAUAGUACCAACUGCUCAGAUCUGUUUUUGGUUUAGAUCUCUUGGAAAAUUUGGUAUCGUUGAUGUGAGAUCCGUUUCUUGUUUCGAAAAAUAUUCGAUGAAAAAUGAAAACUCUUGUAGGUUUGCGUACAAAUGUUACCGGUUUAGAUCUGUGUUUGAUUGCGACGACCUGUUAAUUGAUUUGGUUGAUACGAGAUCCGAUUCUUUUGUUCUCAGAUUCGUUUUGAUUUUCUGUUUUUAUCGUUAUUUCUAUCAGAUCUUUGGAUCCACUUCGUUUUGUAUAUCCAUUGUGUUGAUGUGGUGUUCUGUAUUUGGAUGUUACAGCCUGAUGGUCAGAUGCCGAGUGACAAGACUGUUGGCGGAGGUGACGAUGCUUUCAACACCUUCUUCAGUGAAACCGGUGCUGGGAAGCACGUCCCACGUGCGGUCUUUGUUGAUCUUGAGCCAACUGUGAUCGAUGAGGUCAGAACUGGUACUUACCGUCAGCUUUUCCACCCUGAGCAACUCAUCAGCGGUAAAGAAGACGCAGCUAACAACUUCGCCCGUGGGCAUUACACCAGUAAGAUACUCAUCCCUGUACAAAUAUCCUUCCAACAACCAUAUAUUGUUGAUUCUAUUGUGUAUUAACUGGUUUGAUUUUUGACUUAUCUCAGUUGGGAAAGAGAUUGUUGAUCUGUGCUUGGACCGUAUCAGAAAGCUCGCUGAUAACUGUACUGGUCUCCAAGGAUUCCUUGUCUUCAACGCUGUUGGUGGAGGGACUGGAUCUGGUCUUGGAUCUCUCCUCCUUGAGAGACUUUCUGUUGACUAUGGCAAAAAGUCCAAGUUGGGAUUCACAGUUUACCCAUCUCCUCAGGUCUCUACCUCUGUUGUUGAGCCUUACAACAGUGUCCUCUCCACUCACUCCCUCUUGGAACACACUGAUGUCUCAAUCCUCCUCGACAAUGAAGCUAUCUAUGACAUCUGCAGACGCUCCUUGAGCAUUGAGAGACCAACCUACACCAACCUCAACCGUCUUGUCUCUCAGGUAUAGAACCAGCCAGCAACAAUUAACCCUUUAAACGCUUACCUUGCUGCUGUUUUGUGUCUAAUGUUCACUCUCUUUUUUUGGAUUUAGGUUAUCUCUUCCUUGACUGCUUCUCUGAGGUUCGAUGGUGCCUUGAAUGUUGAUGUCACUGAAUUCCAAACUAACUUGGUCCCAUACCCAAGAAUCCAUUUCAUGCUUUCCUCCUACGCACCAGUCAUUUCUGCAGAGAAAGCCUUCCACGAGCAACUCUCAGUUGCUGAGAUCACAAACAGUGCUUUUGAGCCAGCUUCCAUGAUGGCCAAGUGUGACCCACGUCAUGGAAAGUACAUGGCUUGCUGUUUGAUGUACCGUGGUGAUGUUGUCCCCAAGGACGUGAACGCAGCAGUUGGCACCAUCAAGACCAAGCGCACGAUCCAGUUUGUGGAUUGGUGUCCUACUGGAUUCAAGUGUGGUAUCAACUACCAGCCACCAACAGUGGUUCCAGGAGGUGAUCUUGCAAAAGUGCAGAGAGCUGUUUGUAUGAUCUCCAACUCCACGAGUGUUGCUGAGGUGUUCUCCCGUAUUGAUCACAAGUUUGAUCUUAUGUACGCGAAACGUGCUUUCGUCCACUGGUAUGUGGGUGAGGGUAUGGAAGAAGGAGAAUUCUCAGAGGCUCGUGAGGAUCUUGCUGCGUUGGAGAAGGAUUAUGAAGAGGUCGGUGCUGAAGGUGGUGACGAUGAGGAUGAUGAAGGAGAGGAAUACUAAGAACCAUGUUUCUAAAAACUUUGGACUUUGUGUGCGUUUUCUAUUAUCUCGUGUUGUGUGACUGGGCUCCAAACUCUUUACCUUUUGGGCUUGUAUUGCUUUCUUUUGAACGUUUUGCUUUUGAUUUCAUAUUGAAUAUCCUAUGCUUAGGGUAUUUGAGUAUAUCUUGGUCGUUGUUGGUAAGGCUAUAUAUAAAGCCUAGGUUCUCUUCUUCUCUAUCUUUACGACCAAUCCACAUAGCUUACUUACUUUUGUGGUCCUGAAGAUGAUAAUCACUGUCAGGUUAUACCUCUCCCUGGUCUAAACAUUAAGCAUGCUCAGAGAUGUCUGACUACUUCAGAAUUCAGAUGGAGAUAUAAUCUACAGUGUUUGACAAAAAAAAAAAAUUGAUUAAUAAUGAUUUAUGAGUCCAAUAAAGUUGAUAAUGAAAACAGCUAGUUAUUUGCGUCCAACCAUCUCUAAAAAGAA
rnacentral:lncRNA from 1 species